UUGGUGAAAGUGCUCGUUUGAUCAGAGAAAUGUUUAAUUAUGCCAGGGAUCAUCAACCAUGCAUUAUUUUUAUGGAUGAAAUAGAUGCUAUUGGUGGUCGUCGGUUUUCUGAGGGUACUUCAGCUGAUAGAGAGAUACAGAGAACUUUGAUGGAGUUACUGAAUCAAAUGGAUGGAUUUGAUACUCUACAUAGAGUUAAAAUGAUCAUGGCUACAAACAGACCAGAUACACUGGAUCCUGCU